rnacentral:rRNA from 1 species
CAGUAGCCGCGGUAAAACGAAGGGUGCAAGCGUUACUCGGAAUUACUGGGCGCAAAGCGUGCGUAGGUGGUGGUUUGAGUCCGUUGUGAAAGCCCUGGGCUCAACCUGGGAAUUGCAGUGGAUACUGGGUCACUAGAGUGUGGUAGAGGAUAGUGGAAUUUCCGGUGUAGCAGUGAAAUGCGUAGAGAUCGGAAGGAACAUCUGUGGCGAAGGCGACUAUCUGGGACAACACUGACGCUGAGGCACGAAAGCGUGGGGAGCAAACAGGAUUAGAUACCCCGGUAGUCCCUGUCUCUUAUAC